rnacentral:rRNA from 1 species
CGGGGUGAGUAACGCGUGGGUAACCUGCCUCAUACAGGGGGAUAACGAUUGGAAACGAUUGCUAAUACCGCAUAAGCGCACAGUACCACAUGGUGCAGUGUGAAAAACUCCGGUGGUAUGAGAUGGACCCGCGUCUGAUUAGCUAGUUGGUGAGGUAACGGCCCACCAAGGCAACGAUCAGUAGCCGACCUGAGAGGGUGACCGGCCACAUUGGGACUGAGACACGGCCCAA